rnacentral:lncRNA from 1 species
AUGGUAACAUGCUGCUGUCAAAAGGGACCUGGAGCCCUGCUUCCUAUCUUAGCUUCUCAGCAGGUAAGGUGCUGGGAAGGGGCAAACUCAGAAAUGGAGACUUUUCUCCCUUUUCAUAAUACAAAUUUUGAUAGGGAAGUUUUGGAGAUUUCCCUCCUUCGUAUCAGCUCCACUAUCACUUUUAAUGUUCUCCACAACCACCCACUCUCACCCGAUGUGUCUGGCUGCUUGAACACUUUCCUUUCUAGCCUCAAUUGCCCCUCAUCUCUCUAUGCACUCACUUCCUGGCUGCAAGUUUUCAGUGGCAGAGAACCCACCGGGGAAGAGAAAAGGCAGUCACUUACUAUAGACAAGCACUGGCUGCCUUGUUUCCUGUUCCACUGGACCCAGAGAUACAAAAACACGACAGCUCCUGGACACCAGUCUCCAUGGUCCGAACAGUGGCAUUGGCCCACACUGUCCCUCCCUUCCAGGAGAGGAAGAGGCUCAGCGCCUGGCCUCCCAGAAGCAUACAGAAUACAACAUCUUUGGCUGGGAACACCCUAGCCACCUCGCAGCUCACAGGUUCUGCCGUCCCAACUUCCAGAACUGAAGAGACCCAGAUGAGGAAUUCUGCCAAGAAAUUAGGAAAAUGAAAAUAAAAAGAAAGAAAAAAGCCACGAUCAAUCAUGUGACAUGUGGGGAGGGAGAGGUGGGAAAUGAUUUUUCUCUCCCAAGAUGAGCUAAAAGUACAGCUGGUGCUCCAUUAGCCUCGCAACCCCAGCCUGUGGGAACUUAGACCCAAAGGCCAUGGCAAAAUGAACAAAAUGAGCCCCAAGGUGCCUUCCGUGCCUGGACUCUUGACUCACCAAAGAUCCAGAGUACCUUGAUGGCUGAGCUGCCGUGAAAGAGCCCCCAACCUUGUGCAUUCAAAUCCAGUUCUGCACUACAGGAGAAAUUGCACCUGUCAUUCUCCCUCUGGGCUGUGACACUGAUGGUGAGUGACCUCAGCUCUCUGAGGGGCCAAAGCCAAGCUCACAAAGUUCUUUCUGUACAGUUCUUGGUUACCCUGGAAAAGGGUAAGGGUGAGGUGCUUCAGGGGUGCCACAUGGGGCACAAGGCACUUCACCAUAAAGGCUUCAUCCAUGGCUACCCAGUCAGGCUGCAGCUCCAGGAUCACCUGCUC